ensembl:lncRNA
GGGAAAGUAGAGAGAGAAGGUGGAGGAGGUAUUUGGCAGGAGAGCCAGAUAUACAGAGCAAAGCAUUUGUUGGUUUGUCAAGAGAUGGACCAGGACAAGAACAGGGCUACACCCUCUGCUUCUGUACAACUACACAGAGAUCCACACUACCAGCUGGGUGUAUACAUGUACAUCCCCCAACACGCUGAGCCCAGGGAGAAGCCCUUGCAGGAAGUUUUACCCACAGCUGUGGUCCUGAGCACCGACUGGAGAGAGGCAGCUCCUGAACUACCCACACACUGGGAAUGCGAAUGCUUUGUUUCAAUAACAUUUAACAGCGAUUGCCUCGGCAACCUCUGGCCUGCUGUGAUUAAAUAUUAAUAUGCUUCUAGUCCCUGCUCUUACUCUGUUUUUCUCUCUGCUUUCUAAAUGAAGCUGCACACUCUUGGCCUUUCC